rnacentral:rRNA from 1 species
GACGAACGCUGGCGGCGUGCUUAACACAUGCAAGUCGAACGGAAAGGCCCUGCUUUUGUGGGGUGCGCGAGGGGCCAACGGGUGAGUAACACGUGAGUAACCUACCAUUGACUGUGGGAUAACUUCAGGCAGCUGGGGGUAAUAGCGGAUAGGAGCUCCUGCUGCAGGGUGGGGGUUGGAAAGUUUCGGCGGUUGGGGAUGGACUCGCGGCUUAUCAGCUUGUUGGUGUGGUAGUGUCUUACCAAGGCUUUGACGGGUAGCAGGCCUGAGAGGGUGACCGGCCCCAUCGGGACUGAGCUACGACCCAGACCCGUCCGGGACGCAGCAGUGGAGAAUAGUGCACUAUGGGCGGAAGCCUAAUGCAGCACCGCCGUGCGCGGGAUGACGGCCUUCGGUUUGUAUUCCGCUUCCGCCUGUCACGAAGCGUGAGUGACGGUACUGGGUAAAUAAGCACCGGCUAACUACGUG